AUGGCCCAGGGUGCGGCGGUACUUGUGAUAUUUCUGCUUGGGACGCGUUUUAUUUGGCAGUUUUCUGGAUGUCAAACAACAUUGGACAGAUUGCUUUUUAUUGGCAUUGGAAACAUAUCACAUUAUGGCAGGGCAAAGUUUCACAAUUUAAUGAAUCCUCCACUGAUGGGAUGGUUAAGAGAUUACCUAUGGUUAAACUCUUCAGAACUUAUCAAUGGAUAUAAUCCUUUUGGGAUGAACUGGAUUUCAUUCCACUUUCCUAUUUCUGAACAAACUUAUGUCAUCAAUUAUUUCGUAGUUUCAAAGUCACUAGUUGUCUAUGAGAUAAAUAUUGGCAGUAAUUGUGAAGCCCCAAUUCUUGACUGA
rnacentral:rRNA from 1 species